rnacentral:rRNA from 1 species
UUAGCUAGUUGGUGGGGUAAAGGCCUACCAAGGCAACGAUCUGUAGUUGGUCUGAGAGGACGACCAGCCACACUGGGACUGAGACACGGCCCAGACUCCUACGGGAGGCAGCAGUGGGGAAUUUUGGACAAUGGGCGCAAGCCUGAUCCAGCCAUGCCGCGUGAGUGAAGAAGGCCUUCGGGUUGUAAAGCUCUUUCGGUGAAGACGAAACGGUUAGCGCUAAUAACGCUGACUAAUGACGGUACUCACAGAAGAAGCACCGGCUAACUACGUGCCAGCAGCCGCGGUAAUACGUAGGGUGCAGGCGUUAAUCGGAAUUACUGGGCGUAAAGCGUGCGCAGGCGGUUUGCUAAGACAGGUGUGAAAUCCCCGGGCUUAACCUGGGAAUUGCGCUUGUAACUGGCAAGCUAGAGUGUGGCAGAGGGGGGUGGAAUUCCACGUGUAGCAGUGAAAUGCGUAGAUAUGUGGAGGAACACCGAUGGCGAAGGCAGCCCCCUGGGUUAACACUGACGCUCAGGCACGAAAGCGUGGGGAGCAAACAGGAUUAGAUA